rnacentral:rRNA from 1 species
UAGUCUGCAACUCGACUACAUGAAGCUGGAAUCGCUAGUAAUCGCGAAUCAGAAUGUCGCGGUGAAUACGUUCCCGGGUCUUGUACACACCGCCCGUCACACCAUGGGAGUCAGUAACGCCCGAAGUCAGUGACCGAACCUGAGAGGGAAGGAGCUGCCGAAGGCGGGACGGAUAACUGGGGUGAAGUCGUAACAAGGUAAC